CGGCGGGACACCCCUCCCCAACGAGGGGCAUCUAUCUGGAAGGUUAGGCAGA
rfam:Thiobacimonas profunda strain JLT2016, complete genome.